UACGGGGGGAGCAAGCGUUGUUCGGAUUUACUGGGCGUAAAGGGCGCGUAGGCGGCGUAACAAGUCACUUGUGAAAUCUCCGGGCUUAACCCGGAGCGGCCAAGUGAUACUGUUGUGCUAGAGUGCGGAAGGGGCUACUGGAAUUCUCGGUGUAGCGGUGAAAUGCGUAGAUAUCGAGAGGAACACCUGCGGCGAAGGCGGGUUGCUGGGUUGAUACUGACGCUGAGGCGCGAAAGCCAGGGGAGCGAACGGG
rnacentral:rRNA from 1 species